rnacentral:rRNA from 1 species
GGCCACAGCUUUUGGGUUUCCCCUAGCCAAUUUUGGCUGACUCUGAAAGCAAAGCAGUACCAGACCUGGUUAGUAUCUGGGUUGGAGACUACCUGGAAAUACCAGAUCUGUAGGCU